GUGUCUCCAAAGUCAGAAGCCUGUAAUUCAGUGGUUGUCUUUUGUUUUAAUGUUACAUAUUUUGUUUUUCCUUCAAUUUUGUACAUAAAUAAGGCCAUUAGUCUUCUCAUUUUAUUUGUUUUAAAUUUGUCGGUUCAGGGCCUCUUAUAGCUGACUAUGCAGUAUGGGCUUGGCUCAUUGUUAAAGGCUGUAUGGUCAUAUAUAGUUGUUAAUUUUUGUGUCAUUUGGUCAUUUGUUGAGUGUUGUCUCAUUGACAAUCAUACUACAUUUUCUGUUUAUACAUAACUACAAAGCUAAUCAUGAUCAUUGUUCAAUAAUUGGAACUUUAAAAAAUU
rnacentral:lncRNA from 1 species